AUAAAAAGGGAGGAAUGUUUCAAUGUUGAAAGAAAAGUACUCAGAGGAAAACAAGUGCGAGCUAGUGAAGUUCCAUGGCCACUCCACCACCACCACCUCAAGGGCUGAACAAUGGUCAUGAAGAAGGAGAAAAUGAAGAGUUGGACCCAAUUCUGAUGAUUCGAAUUGAAAGGAUGAUGGAGGAGGUGAGAGAAGAAGAUUGCAUAACACCAACAAGGCCAGAGAAUCAGAUCACAGCCCAUUUGACAUGCCCACCUGCACCAAGACAAAAAAGAGAGUAUCUGCCCCCAGCAAUACCAUUUCCGCUUCACUGCAGGCCAAGAUCAUCAACAACUGGCGAGGAACAAAACCCCAACUUUCUUGACAUGAUCUUCCAGCAGUUUCAUGGAGAGCAGGCUAGGGCUAAGAGGCGCCGCAGAAGUAUGUGAAGAUUUUAAAGCCCGUUUAAUUUGGAUGCAACGCAUAUGCAGUUAUUGGAGUUUAUCUAGUUCUUAUAGAGUUCUUAGUUUAAUUUAUUGCAUGCAUGUAAUUGUGAGUGAAUAUCCUCACAUUAAUUAAUCAUCAUCCAUCUAUUAGGUUUCAGAGGCUCUAUGAGUCUAUGUAGUUCAUGUAGAAUAGUUAACUUCGAUCCAUAGGUUUUCAGAGGUUCGGUAUGACCCUGUAGUGUGCUAUUCAUAUGCAUCCAUACAUGCAUCUUUAUUUCUGCUGUUUAAUUAAAAUUUGGUGUUGCAUCUUCUAAUUGGCCAUUGUUGAUUUUGCUUAAUGUUUAAAUUUUUGCUCUUUUUUAAUCAAUUUUAAUUUCUGGUUCUGUA